GACGAACGCUGGCGGCGUGCCUAAUACAUGCAAGUAGAACGCUGAAGAGAGGAGCUUGCUCUUCUUGGAUGAGUUGCGAACGGGUGAGUAACGCGUAGGUAACCUGCCUUGUAGCGGGGGAUAACUAUUGGAAACGAUAGCUAAUACCGCAUAACAAUAGGUGACACAUGUCAUUUAUUUGAAAGGGGCAAUUGCUCCACUACGAGAUGGACCUGCGUUGUAUUAGCUAGUAGGUGAGGUAACGGCUCACCUAGGCGACGAUACAUAGCCGACCUGAGAGGGUGAUCGGCCACACUGGGACUGAGACACGGCCCAGACUCCUACGGGAGGCAGCAGUAGGGAAUCUUCGGCAAUGGGGGCAACCCUGACCGAGCAACGCCGCGUGAGUGAAGAAGGUUUUCGGAUCGUAAAGCUCUGUUGUAAGUCAAGAACGAGUGUGAGAGUGGAAAGUUCACACUGUGACGGUAGCUUACCAGAAAGGGACGGCUAACUACGUGCCAGCAGCCGCGGUAAUACGUAGGCCCCGAGCGUUGUCCGGAUUUAUUGGGCGUAAAGCGAGCGCAGGCGGUUUGAUAAGUCUGAAGUUAAGGCUGUGGCUCAACCAUAGUUCGCUUUGGAAACUGUCAAACUUGAGUGCAGAAGGGGAGAGUGGAAUUCCAUGUGUAGCGGUGAAAUGCGUAGAUAUAUGGAGGAACACCGGUGGCGAAAGCGGCUCUCUGGUCUGUAACUGACGCUGAGGCUCGAAAGCGUGGGGAGCGAACAGGAUUAGAUACCCUGGUAGUCCACGCCGUAAACGAUGAGUGCUAGGUGUUGGAUCCUUUCCGGGAUUCAGUGCCGCAGCUAACGCAUUAAGCACUCCGCCUGGGGAGUACGACCGCAAGGUUGAAACUCAAAGGAAUUGACGGGGGCCCGCACAAGCGGUGGAGCAUGUGGUUUAAUUCGAAGCAACGCGAAGAACCUUACCAGGUCUUGACAUCCCGAUGCUAUUUCUAGAGAUAGAAAGUUACUUCGGUACAUCGGUGACAGGUGGUGCAUGGUUGUCGUCAGCUCGUGUCGUGAGAUGUUGGGUUAAGUCCCGCAACGAGCGCAACCCCUAUUGUUAGUUGCCAUCAUUCAGUUGGGCACUCUAGCGAGACUGCCGGUAAUAAACCGGAGGAAGGUGGGGAUGACGUCAAAUCAUCAUGCCCCUUAUGACCUGGGCUACACACGUGCUACAAUGGUUGGUACAACGAGUUGCGAGUCGGUGACGGCAAGCUAAUCUCUUAAAGCCAAUCUCAGUUCGGAUUGUAGGCUGCAACUCGCCUACAUGAAGUCGGAAUCGCUAGUAAUCGCGGAUCAGCACGCCGCGGUGAAUACGUUCCAGGGCCU
rnacentral:rRNA from 1 species